rnacentral:rRNA from 1 species
UACGAGGGGGGCGAGCGUUGUUCGGAAUUAUUGGGCGUAAAGGGUGCGUAGGCGGUUUUGUAAGUCUUAUGUGAAAUCUAUGGGCUCAACUCAUAGACUGCAUGAGAAACUGCAGGGCUUGAGUAUGGGAGAGGUGAGUGGAAUUCCCAGUGUAGUGGUGAAAUACGUAGAGAUUGGGAAGAACACCAGUGGCGAAGGCGGCUAUCUGGACGGUUUCUGACGCUAAGACGCGAAAGCGUGGGGAGCAAACAGG